UGUCAAUCAUCGUGCCUGGUUUAUAUGG
rnacentral:piRNA from 1 species